UUUUAAGAGCACAAAUACAAA
ensembl:piRNA 21ur-8420 ncRNA